GGGGGCAGCUCGCAGCUGAGUCACCUCUGUGCCAGAGUCAACAGUCUCCAGGGUGGGCCGGAAGUUGUUGUAGGCGUUCUCAAGGCCGAAUCUGCUCUCCCUCAGAUUCUGGUCUGUAGGGAGAGGCCGUGAUGAGUGAUGGGAGCCUUGGUAGGGGGAGGACUAGGGGGCAGAGGGGAUUUCCUCUGGCAAAAGGAAGAGUCAGCCCGGCAUCUGCCCUACGCCCUUUCCCACUGCCGACCACCCCUCCGACCCUGCAUCACUGGGCUGCGGCUGGGAAAAGUGAGACCCAGACGCUCCAUCUCAGCUUCCCCAUGUGGUGCUGUGCUCUGUGGUGGCCAAGACUGCCAUGUUGCCAUGCUGUGAUGCAGCAAGAAAGUCCUCACCAGAUGCAGCCCCUUGAUCUUGGACUUCCCAGCCUCCAGAACUGUAUGCCUUAUGUCACCCCUUGGAGAACCCAUGGAAAAUCAUUCACUGGUAACAAUUUCCAAGCUGGCACUCCCCAGACCUUUGUAGUCAAAAUGCUUAACAAAAAUUGCCUAUUUGCCUACAUUGCAGCCACUGGUCAUUAAAGAUGCCAGCUCCCUCUCCUGCUAAGCAGGUAAAGUUUGGUAGCUUUUUUCUCUGUGAGAGUAAUGACAUGGUAUCUCAUUAAAUGAAUUAAGUUGAGUCCUUUCUUGCCCAUUUACAGUGUUUACUGCUUCUACAUUCCACAUGUAUUUGGAUUUUUCUUUAAAAAGAUUAAGGUUAGGGACAAUGGCUCACACCUGUAAUCCCAGCACUUUGGGAGGCUGAGGCAGGAGGUUUGCUUGAGGCCAGGAGUUCAAGACCAGCCUGGAAAACAUAGCGAGACCCCCAUCUGUACAAACAUUUAAAAAUUAGCUGGGCAUGGUGGUGCACAUCUGUAGUCCCAGCUACUUGAGAGGCUGAGGCAGAAGGCUCACUUGAGCCCAGGAGGUCAAGGCUGCAGUGAGCUAUGAUUGUGCCACUGCACUCCAGCCUGGGCAACAGAGAAAGACGCUGUCUCUAAAAUAAAAUAGAUUAUUAUUUAAUUAAGGCAGCUGGUUUUUCAGGCAAACCUUUCACAUCGUGGCAUGCUUGGGGACACACAUUAGAAGGUUCUUCAAGGACAAGUCUGAAGACCAUCACCAAGCUUUGAAACUGUCUCCUCCUGCCACCUCCAGGACAUAUUUCUGCUUGUGACAAAAUCAGUCAAUGAAGUCCCCAGUGGCAGCUCCCCUGAAGAGGCAGUGGCAGUGUGGGGAGCCCCCACGGGGUGUGGAGG
rnacentral:lncRNA from 1 species